rnacentral:rRNA from 1 species
GACGAACGCUGGCGGCGUGCCUAACACAUGCAAGUCGAACGAAGUGGCGAACGGGUGAGUAACGCGUAAUCAACCUGCCCUUCAGAGGGGGACAACAGUUGGAAAUGACUGCUAAUACCGCAUACUGAAGGAGGGGAUUGCGUUUGAUUAGCGAGUUGGAGGGGUAACGGGCCACCAAGGCGAUGAUCAGUAGCCGGGCUGGGAAGAGGAACGGCCACAUUGGGACCGGGACACGGCCCAGAAUUCUACGGGAGGCAGCCGUGGGGAAUCAUCCGCAAUGGACGAAAGGCUGACGGCAGCACGGCGCGUGAGUGGUGACGGCCUUCGGGUUGUAAAGCUCGGUUAAUCGGGACGCGGUACCGGAAUAGAAAGCCACGGCUAACUACGUGCCAGCAGCCGCGGUAAUAC